rnacentral:rRNA from 1 species
AUGGAAGCUAUUUCAAUGAAUUUUGUUAUAUGUGAGUUCGCUGUGUUAGAGUCAUGGAAAUCUGAAACCUUAGUGUAUACCAAACUCUUACAUUAUGGCCAAUUGAUCCACUUUAUUUGGAUCCUUGAAAAAAGAAAAUUAACAUGUCUUGGUGCAUAUAUGUGGCGAUCAAUGUUCAUCGUCCUUCUCAAUUUUACCUUAAUUUUGUUGUGUAUCGACAUAUUUCGAUUGGAUCAAUGUUCAUCCCAAUGGUAUGCUCAUGUCUCAAGAUAUCUAAACUUGCUCUAUGAUGCACGAGCAAGUAAGAUCAGAAUUACAAGGAUAGGCUUCCUUGCAUUUUUUUAA